GGAUUCCCUUAGUAACUGCGAGUGAAGUGGGAAAAGCUCAAAUUUGAAAUCUGGCAGUUCUUGACUGUCCGAGUUGUAAUCUAGAGAAGUGUUACCUGUGCUGGACUGUGUACAAGUCUUCUGGAAUGGAGCAUCAUAGAGGGUGAGAAUCCCGUCUUUGACAUGGACUACCAGUGCAUUAAGGUAUGCUCUCAAAGAGUCGAGUUGUUUGGGAAUGCAGCUCAAAAUGGGUGGUAAAUGCCAUCUAAAGCUAAAUAUUGGCGAGAGACCGAUAGCGAACAAGUACCGUGAGGGAAAGAUGAAAAGAACUUUGGAAAGAGAGUUAAACAGUACGUGAAAUUGCUGAAAGGGAAACGCUUGAAGUCAGUCACGUUAACUAGAAAUCAACCUUUGCUUUUGCUUGGUGUACUUUCUGGUUGAUGGGUCAGCAUCAAUUUCAACUAUUGGAUAAAGUCAUUGGGAAUGUAGCAUCUUUGGAUGUGUUAUAGCCUUUUGUCAUAUACAGUGGUUGGGAUUGAGGAACUCAGCAUGCCACAAGGCCAGGUUUUGUACCAUGUUCAUGCUUAGGAUGCUGGCAUAAUGGCUUUAAUCGACCCGUCUUGAAACACGGACCAAGGAGUCUAACAUGCCUGCAAGUGUUUGAGUGGAAAACUCAUGCGCGUAAUGAAAGUAAAAGUUAAGAUCCCCUUCAAAGGGAGCAUUGACGCCCAGACCAGACCUUUUGUGACGGAUCUGCGGUAGAGCAUGUAUGUUGGGACCCGAAAGAUGGUGAACUAUGCCUGAAUAGGGUGAAGCCAGAGGAAACUCUGGUGGAGGCUCGUAGCGAUUCUGACGUGCAAAUCGAUCGUCAAAUUUGGGUAUAGGGGCGAAAGACU
rnacentral:rRNA from 1 species